rnacentral:rRNA from 1 species
CCUACGGGCGGCAGCAGUGGGGAAUAUUGCACAAUGGGCGCAAGCCUGAUGCAGCCAUGCCGCGUGUGUGAAGAAGGCCUUCGGGUUGUAAAGCACUUUCAGCGGGGAGGAAGGCGGUGAGGUUAAUAACCUCAUCGAUUGACGUUACCCGCAGAAGAAGCACCGGCUAACUCCGUGCCAGCAGCCGCGGUAAUACGGAGGGUGCAAGCGUUAAUCAGAAUUACUGGGCGUAAAGCGCACGCAGGCGGUCUGUCAAGUCGGAUGUGAAAUCCCCGGGCUCAACCUGGGAACUGCAUUCGAAACUGGCAGGCUAGAGUCUUGUAGAGGGGGGUAGAAUUCCAGGUGUAGCGGUGAAAUGCGUAGAGAUCUGGAGGAAUACCGGUGGCGAAGGCGGCCCCCUGGACAAAGACUGACGCUCAGGUGCGAAAGCGUGGGGAGCAAACAGGAUUAGAUACCCCUGUAGUC